rnacentral:lncRNA from 1 species
UUCCAAACAAAUUCUAAAUUCCUUUAACAAAAGAAUUGGCCAACUAAUUCAUUAAAUAAUGUGUAAACUAAAUAAAAACACGACUAAAAGAAAAACAAGUUCAAGACUCAAUCUCAUUCAUGCAUAAUAUGUUAGGAAAUUAGAUCGCUACUAAUUCCGCCAGGAUCAGUGGGAUGCAAAAUAAUUUAAACUGAGAAGAAAUAAAUGUAUCAAAAAUAAUAAGUGCAAGUGACACAAAAAUUUACGUGGUUCGGCAAUCGUGCCUACGUCCACAAACCCACACCAAUUCUUUUCCUGUAUCAACAAGAGAAUAAAAGGAAUACAACAAAUACACUUUCUAUAUUUUAUUUGCCUACGCAAAGACAAUCUCUCAAUUUUCUCUCAUUAAUUUUCUACACAAACGAAAGCCUAACUGCUUCUCACUUUGUGUUUUGCUCACUAUCUCUCGUGUUUUCACUCUACACGAUUUUCUUGCACUUC